CAUCCUCCUCAAACUGUGGGCCAUCACACUUCCUCUGAUUUUGAAGAGAACUGUUCCCCACCUCCUCUCCCUGGCUGACCUUUGUCUUUCUGGAAGGCUGUGAGUGUCAUGUCUUCCUUCUAUGGCUGUUGCAGUACACAAUGCCUUUCCUCUUUAGAAGGAAGUUUCAGAGCUCAAAACCACUGUGUUUUCUGUACUCUGUGGCUCACUGGUGACACAGCCCAAUCAACCACACAUUGCCAGCAAGCCAUGCAAGAAAGCACCUGUCAUUUUGCUCUUGUCCAGAGAGAUGUUCACACUGACUAGAUGAGAGGAGUUCUGUGGGCUUAUGGCCCAGCAGUUGGCUGGAGGAUGGAAGAUGCACUUCUGAAUCCCUCUUUUGGCUCAUGCAGGCUUGAUCUGGGUCUGCCAUCUUCUGCGAGAGGCCAUGCUGCCCCUUCACCCCUCCCAGUGACAUUGUGGAGAGCAGAUGAUCUUCACCUGCUUCUCCUUUGUGAAUUACAACAUGUGCCAACUCCCUGCUGCUGUGCACAGAGCACCAAGCAGCUGUUUUCACUUACUCCUCCACAGCUGAUGCAGAGCACUUGCUCUGAUGAAAUGGGACAUCUCCCUAUGGACCAGAGAACCUUGCCUGCCACACAGAAAUUGUUAUGACAGUUACAUUCCUACGAAAGGCUCGUUCUGUCAUAUCACCUUUUACAGCCAGAAUAAAUUAUUCUACCAACCAGCCAA